GGACCGGAACCCAUCUUUUCCAUUUCAGCCUAUUGGUUGAUGCUUCGCUCUAUAGCCUACUCCAUUCUAAAUGAAGAGAUUUUCCCAGUUGUGCAAAAUGGACUCCCUUCAAGAUGACCUAACCAAGAUUACUCAGCUCGAUUAAACAGCCAGUGCAAUGGUACAAUAUAUCCCAGUCAAAAUUUCUUCAUCUCAUUCUCUACUGGGAUUGCCAGCCUGACCUAUUUCAUGAUUAACAGAACUAACCAG
rnacentral:lncRNA from 1 species